CAGUAAACUAGCUAGCCACAGCGGUCAACUAGCUAGCCACAGCGGUCAACUAGCUAGCCAGAGAGGUCAACUAGCCUGCCACAGCAGUCAACUAGCUAGCCAGAGAGGUCAACUAGCCUGCCACAGCAGUAAACUAGCUAGCCACAGCGGUCAACUAGCUAGCCACAGCGGUCAACUAGCUAGCCAGAGAGGUCAACUAGCUAGCCACAGCGGUCAACUAGCUAGCCACAGCGGUCAACUAGCUAGCCAGAGAGGUCAACUAGCUAGCCACAGCGGUCAACUAGCCAGCCAGAGAGGUCAACUAGCCUGCCACAGCAGUAAACUAGCUAGCCAGAGAGGUCAACUAGCUAGCCACAGCAGUCAACUAGCUAGCCAGAGAGGUCAACUAGCCUGCCACAGCAGUAAACUAGCUAACCACAGCAGUAAACUAGCUAACCACAGCGGUCACCUACAAAGGUGGUUUGAAAUGUGGCAUGAAAUAUCCGAUUCCAUGUACUUUUAGGCUCUUCAGACAGCAGAAAAAUGUAAUGUUCGAAUCGGAUAUGCAAAAAAAUGUGGACAAGGCUUAUUGACUGACAAAGGUGCGUACACCAAGUAUUAACUCUGGGGUGUGAAGACAUCCACAAAAUCAAGACAUCUUCGUUUUUUUUGUGUUUCAUUAAUUUGAAAUAUGUUCUAGAACUUUCUUUCACUUUGAACAUGCAGUAGUAGUAGAUGGUGUAGCUCUAAAUGAAAAAAAUAGAGAAAUUCAAACCCUUUUAGAUUACAUUUUAAGACGGCA
ensembl:lncRNA